rnacentral:tRNA from 1 species
AUUUAGGUAGUUUUAAAAAAAAUUUUGAUUUGUGGUAUCAAAGAUACAAGUUUUAUUGUCUUAAAUC